UUUUACGACAAUUUCAUAGUUCGUAUAACCUCGAUAAUUUGGUUCGGGGGCUCUACUGGGAACCUAAAUCCUAACUACGAACACAAUAUAUGCGUAU
rfam:Paenibacillus pectinilyticus strain KCTC13222 scaffold13, whole genome shotgun sequence.